rnacentral:rRNA from 1 species
GAUGAACGCUGGCGGCGUGCCUAAUACAUGCCAGUCGAGCGAACGGACGAGAAGCUUGCUUCUCUGAUGUUAGCGGCGGACGGGUGAGUAACACGUGGAUAACCUACCUAUAAGACUGGGAUAACUUCGGGAAACCGGAGCUAAUACCGGAUGAUAUUUUGAACCGCAUGGUUCAAAAGUGAAAGACGGUCUUGCUGUCACUUAUAGAUGGAUCCGCGCUGCAUUAGCUAGUUGGUAAGGUAACGGCUUACCAAGGCAACGAUGCAUAGCCGACCUGAGAGGGUGAUCGGCCACACUGGAACUGAGACACGGUACAGACUCCUACGGGAGGCAGCAGUAGGGAAUCUUCCGCAAUGGGCGAAAGCCUGACGGAGCAACGCCGCGUGAGUGAUGAAGGUCUUCGGAUCGUAAAACUCUGUUAUUAGGGAAGAACAUAUGUGUAAGUAACUGUGCACAUCUUGACGGUACCUAAUCAGAAAGCCACGGCUAACUACGUG